AGGGGGUAAGCAUCUGGAGGUUGAAUGUUUGAAGGGGUACGGGACUAUAACAAGUUUGGGAACCACCAGUCUAGAAUAUUUAAUAUAGCUUUAGACAACAUGGUUCUAGGGCCAAAUAUUCUGUAUCACUGCCAUAUUAAUAGGCACACACAAUAGCAUGUAGACUAUCACAUCUGUAAUUAGGCAACAUGGUUCUGUUUGCCCAACAUGUGUCAUAUGAGCAAAGUGUAUAGCCUGCCGUGGUAAAGGAGGGGGGAACAAGUUUAAUGAGCAUUUCAUUGUGAUUUGUCAACAAUCGCGCUUCUAUGGCACCAGCUGCGAGUAAUGACACGCACGCACACCUGUCAGGCAGCAUUCCUUUUUGAUGAAAGCUGUCAGAAAGUUCAUCAUGCACGUUGCGUUGAAAUGCCUUGCGCUCUCGACAUACACCACGAUACCCGCUGGCUGACUGACCCGUUUAGCUGGACGGACCGUUUCUGCGAUGUGAGCGUGAAUAAUUAUAUGAGAGCGAGAGAGAUAAUUCCACCUGACUCUCUUCCGAGACCGUCCACCCCUGAAGCUAAGGAAGACAUCCUGAGAGAGUGUAAAGCCAGAAUAAGAGGCAGAAGCUGACACCUGGAGAAAUACAAGAGCGGCAGAACAAGGCUACCCAUAGCUGUCUCUCUGCCUGGUGGAAUUACGCACGAUGGACCAGGAAGAAGACUUUCUGGACUUCAAGUCCUUGAGGGCAAAGUUCCAGGAUGAGGAAGUGUUGCUGCUGAAGCAGCCCGGGACCAAAUCUGCUCUCCCUGAGAAACCUAAAGUCCUGCCUCCUCCUCAAAGCCCUACAAACUGCCUUCCUACCCUCAACUCCACAUCACAUACACCCUCCAACUCGCACUUCCUACCGCGCGGUGCUCGACCUUCCCUCCUCUCCUCCCUUCAGGGGCCGGGUGGCAUCGCAUCCAGAGUCGUCAAGGAGGAGAAGAAGGUGAAGAGCAAAGACAAGGAUGAGGGGAAGGUGAAAUUACUAGGGAAAAAUAAGGCAGAGGUGAAGGCUGAUAAAGAGAAGUCGGAUGAAAGGAUGAAUGGAGGGAAAGAUAUUGUAGAAGUAGUGGUGAGGUCAGAUCUGCUGGACCAGAAACAGAAGAAAGAAGCAGACCUGGCCAUGAAGAACAAGAAGGUGUCCCUGCUGUCCCCUGGGGGGUCUAAGGGGGGUAGUGUUGAGCUGGUAGACAUGUCACCACCACCCAUAAACACAACAAAGAAGAAGGGUUUUCUGGGCAUCGGGAAGUCAGUGAAAACAGGGAAGAAGAGGAAAGAGGGGAGAGUUGAGCUUCUUCCUUUCCCCAUACUGGACAUAGCCAGCCCAGACCUGGCUGACCCUGAACCUCUCAUGCCUCUAACCACCUUCGGAACCCCAGCCCCCCUUGGUGAUAUACCUAUACGUACCGUCAUUAUCCCACCUUCCCCAGCAGUACACAAUGUUCACUUACCCUCUGCCUCGAUACCUGCCCCAGUACUAGAUUCCCCCUUACCCCUGGAGCUGACUCAUAACCCAGUAUUUACCCUGUUACCCCCCACCCUGAAACCUGCACCAGCAGCUGAAGCCAUUACAGUCGUUACACCACCUAACCCCAUCCCAGUGAUCCCUGACCCUCCUAUCAUUGAUCACAUUCCUGAAACCCUCAGUCUUAAACCCUCAGCUGAAACCAUCCCAGCCCCCACCCUGCCAGUAUCAGUCCGCCCUACCCCUUCCCCUGUUACUGCCCCAUUCAGCCCAAUACCAGCUCCCCCAGUCACCCAUAUACUCCCUGCUGUCCCCUCCCCACCUACAAUCUCUACCUCCACCCCACCUCCACCUGUUAUUGCCACUCCAUCCCCACCCCCUGACCCUACCCCCUCUCCUCCUCCUCCUCCCCCUACACCUCCAGCUGCUGAACUUGACCCUGAGUCUGUAGUAGUGGAUAUUGCUGUUAUAGUCAAGACCUCUGCCUCUCGACUUCCCUCUCACACCCCCCCUCCCCCGGCUGGUGACCCCUCAGUCGCACCCCCGUCCCUCCAGCCUGAGAGGCCCGUGGGAGUCCAGGAACGGCCACUCUCGGCCCUGUUGGCUCUAGGACGAGCAGAAGAGAUGAGUCCACCAAAAAAAAGAGGAUCAGAGAUAAUCUUCAAUGCGCUGGAGAAAGCUAAGAGGACGCUCACCAGCCCUCUUAUGACCCCCAUCCCCUCCAGACCUAUCACACCCACCAUAGAGGACCUAACCCCACCCCCCCACAGUCCUAGCCCCACCCCGGUGAAAUCGCUACCUGAGCUCCCACCAAUCGACUACGAUGACCAGGCAGGGGCGGCGGCCCCUACAACCCUGAUACCGGCCCUAGUCAAAGGUAUUGACAUUAGGCAGGCGCCUCCUAUGUUGGAGGGGAUAGCAGAGAAGGGUGCAAGGGACCUCCUACCAGACCUGUUUGUGGUGCCCCCUCCUCCCCCAAGAAAGUGCCUCCCAGAGGCCUCCACCCGAGGAUCCCCGCCAGAGAAACCCCCCCAACUCCCCUCCGUGGACCUUACUGCCUAUGCUGUGGAGAUUCCUGUUCCUUCAGCUGAUUCUGCUCUCAACAUUCCUGAGUUUGAGGAUGUAGGAUCAGAUGUUCUGGAAUUGGAAGCCCCGGAGUUCCAGCCUGCAGACUUAGUGGAAUUAGGGGUGUCUAAGUGGGGAGCCCAGGCAGAAGACAGCACCAAUGAGAGCUGUGGCAAUGCCUAUGAGGACAUGCCCUCAGCCAAGCAGAAGGUCAAGGGUCAACCUACCAAGAAAAAGAAAGGAACAGCGAAGAGUAAGACACAGGCGCCUUACAACCCAUAUGCUGAGACUCAGCUUCCGACAGAAGAAACACCCAAGACUGACUUGUUCUUGAAGAAGACUGCCUCGGAAACCCCAGAUGAGAAACAAAUGAAAAAGAAAGAAAAACAAAGUUUGGAGAAGGAGAAGAAAGAACAGAAAGAAAGAGAGAGGAAAGAGCAGAAAGAGAGAGAGAAGAAAGAAAAUGAGAUGAAGAAGUUUAAGAUAACAGGUCAGAAGGAGGCUAUAUACCAGGCUACAGUGAUGGUAGCGUCUAAAGGACAUAAGAACGACCUGGCUGUGAAGAACGGGGACAUAGUCAGCAUCAUACGGACCACAAACUGCCCGAAAGGAAAAUGGCUGGCCAGGAACAGCACUAAUACAUAUGGAUACAUCUCAGUGAGCGACGUGGAUCUGGACAUUAAGGAGAUGUUGGAAAUGGGGAAGAGGGCUUCUCGAGCCAUCAGCUGUAAAAACAUUACCACUAUGGUAGAACAGGGAGGAGGCGAGGUGGCCAGUAUGGACAGCAGGACACCCAAUCACUACCCAUUUCAGGAAGAUACAGGCAGCUUCACAGACGACAGUGAGGAGUGGGCACAUGAUGAUGAUGAUGAUGAACCUCUCUCCUCCCUCAUCGAGGAAGACCCCGCAGAGAGAGACCACAUCCAAACAAUGUCCAUGCCAGAGAUGGGUCACCAGGCUGCUCGUUAUGGAGCACACCUGUCACCAGCGUUACGAUAGUGACACUCACCUGGACUCCAUCACCUCCUUGAUUACCUGCCCUUUAUAUGUCACUCCAUUUGGUUUCUUCCCCAGUCAUCAUUGUUCUUGUUUCAUGUUGAUGCUCUGUUCGUGUUUCGUUCAUUUAUUUAUGAAACGGCUUCCCUCCCUGAACUUGCUUCCUGACUCUCAGCGUUACAGAAUGACAACUCAACAAAGGGAAGCAUCAGGGAGUGUUUUUUUGUGUUUGUUUUGGUGUUGGAGGUGAUGUUGAGUCAGGGUGUCCAAACCGGAGCUACCUGGGAGGCCUCCGGUUCCUCUGCGUCAGCUGGCCCGACGGGUUUCCAUACCUCAGCAGGCUCGAUAGGCUCCCGUGCCUCAGCUGAUGAACAGGUUCCCGUGCCUCUGCCGGUUCGUCAGGUUUCUUCGCCUCAGUGGAGGCGACCCGUCCGCUCUGGGUCCCCAGGAUCGUCCCUGUGGUUGGCAUCCUGCGGCUGGAGCCGGACACGCUGGCGAGGGGAUACUGUCACGUAUGCGCUCUCUCCGGCGCUCUAGUUCGUCAUGCUCCCGCACCUCAACCGGCUCGACAGGUUCCCGCGCCUUAGCAGAGGUGACCAGUCCACUCCUGAUCCCCGGGAUCAUCUUGGUCGGCGUCUGCCCUUCAUAUGUCACUCCCUUUGGUUUAUUCCCCAGUCGUCAUUGUUGCUGUUUCAUGUCUGCGCUAUUCGUGUUUUGUUCAUUUAUUAAUUAAAUGUAUUCACUCCCUGAACUUGCUUCCUGACUAUCAGCGAACAGCUUUACACUAACCUUCAAUUCCUGUUUUUCUUACAUUGUUUUUGUUCCUUAUGAAAGCCAGACUUUAGUUACAACUAUUGCUUGUUGGCUAUUAUUGUGUGCUUGUUCUUCCUCCAGGAAGCAGAGAGUCUAGCAUCCACAACCAACACCUAGUCAGUGACGCCAGCAUGGAUGGCAUUGACAUGCAGGUGAGACAUGAAGCACUUCAGAAGCUGGCCACUUUCUUCCACAAACCAGUUGUAGAGGAUCCCAUCAUGAGGCCCUAUGGACAUAGGAGGACAAGAGACGGUGUACCUGUUUAAAGAGGAGGCAGAUAUGGUGGUUCUUCCUCCU